rnacentral:rRNA from 1 species
UACGGAGGGGGCAAGCGUUGUUCGGAAUUACUGGGCGUAAAGGGCGCGCAGGCGGCUGCUCAAGUCAGGCGUGAAAGGCCUGGGCUCAACCCGGGAAUUGCGCUUGAGACUGGGCUGGCUUGAGUGCGGGAGAGGAUGGUGGAAUUCCCAGUGUAGAGGUGAAAUUCGUAGAUAUUAGGAAGAACACCGGUGGCGAAGGCGGCCCACUGGUCCGGUACUGACGCUGAGGUGCGAAAGCGUGGGGAGCAAACAGG